rnacentral:rRNA from 1 species
GAAGAACGCUGGCGGCGUGCUUAACACAUGCAAGUCGAACGAAGUGGCGAACGGGUGAGUAACGCGUAAUCAACCUGCCAUUCAGAGGGGGACAACAGUUGGAAACGAAUGCUAAUACCGCAUACUGAAGGAGGGGUUUGCGUCGGAGUCUCUAGUUGGAGGGGUAACGGGCCACUAAGGCGAUGAUCAGUAGCCGGUCUGGGAGGGGGAACAACCACAUCGGGACGUAGACACAGCCCAGACUCCUCCGGGAGGCAGCAGUGGGGAAACUUCCGCAAUGGACGAAAGUCUGACGGAGCAACGCCGCGUGGGUGAUGACGGCCUUCGGGUUGUAAAGCUCUGUUAAUCGGUGCGCGUUACCGGAAUAGAAAGCCACGGCUAACUCCGUGCCAGCAGCCGCGGUAAUUC